rnacentral:rRNA from 1 species
CAGCCGCCGCGGUAAUACGUAGGGUGCAAGCGUUAAUCGGAAUUACUGGGCGUAAAGCGUGCGCAGGCGGUUUGUUAAGACAGAUGUGAAAUCCCCGGGCUCAACCUGGGAACUGCAUUUGUGACUGGCAAGCUAGAGUAUGGCAGAGGGGGGUGGAAUUCCGCGUGUAGCAGUGAAAUGCGUAGAUAUGCGGAGGAACACCGAUGGCGAAGGCAGCCCCCUGGGCCAAUACUGACGCUCAUGCACGAAAGCGUGGGGAGCAAACAGGAUUAGAUACCCCAGUAGUCCCUGUCUCUUAUAC